GGACAGGAUCUUAGAGGUCGGCGAGCUUGGUCUUCCCUCAAUGUCACUGGUACAUCAACACAAUGAUUGGCUUAUUGAGCCCCUACUUAGUGCCAGAGGUCAUGGUGGGUGCUGGAGGGGAUAUGACUAAGACACUGAACAAGGCCCUGCCGCUGACCUCACAGUGGGGAGACAGUCCCAGGAAGGAUUUCCUGACUUUCCCCUGAAGUAGGACAUUGGACCCUGGUGUGAGUGAUGCCCGCAUACUCAGAGGAAAGGAACAUCCUUUUUCUGAAGACACAAGGACACAGAGGAGAAUCUGAGCCAACAGAUGUGGUGACAUUCCCUCCAGGGGCCUCAGCCAUGAAUCUAGCAGUGGGUGAAGACAUCUUGCCAGCCCUACAAUUCCAAAAGCAACAAAGGACUCUUGAGGGUUGUGAGCAACACAGUCAUUGGGGAACACCAGAUGGCUACUGAGGUUUCUCCAGUGGUCCACAGGUGCCAGCUUCUUUC
rnacentral:lncRNA from 1 species